ensembl:snRNA U6 U6 spliceosomal RNA
GUGCUUGCUUCACAUAUACUUGCAGCACAUAUACUAAAAAAUUGGAACAAUACAGAGAAGAUUAUUAGCAUGGCCCCUGCACAAGGAUGACAAGCAAAUUUGUGAAGCAUUCCAUAUUUUC